GGGAGUGUGGCUCAGUGGAAGAGCGUUUUCAUUCCAAGCAGAAAAUCCUAGGUUCAAUUCCCCGCAUCUCUA
rnacentral:tRNA from 1 species